UUUCCGUAGGUGAACCUGCGGAAGGAUCAUUACAGAGUUCAUGCCCUCACGGGUAGAUCUCCCACCCUUGAAUAUUUAUACCUUAGUUGCUUUGGCAGGCCGUGGAAACACCAUGGGCUCCGGCUUAUGCGUGCCUGCCAGAGGAAGCAAACUCUGUUUUUAGUGAUGUCUGAGUACUAUAUAAUAGUUAAAACUUUCAACAACGGAUCUCUUGGUUCUG
rnacentral:misc_RNA from 1 species